GUCUUGUAGCUGUGGGUUACGUAAACCUAUAUGAAUGGGUGACAACGAAAGGACAAGGCUUCAUUAAGUAGGAGGACCACGUUUUAAAAAGGCAACAACUUUGCCCCAGACAAAUAGAAUGAUUGACUAUGGGACAAGAUGGACAAACUAAAAUGGGAGAGAAAUCAAUAAUGGAUUACUAAAACAUGGGUGUAACUCAGAGAAUCGGUUAUAAGAAACAAAGAUAUUUCUUAUUUUACGGGAAUCACCGAACAAUGUUAAAUCAGUGACAAAAACAAGAGACAAACAAACCCAUUCAUUUACUUCACCCUGGGGCUGCUUUAGAUUUAGGCCUUUGAUGUGGUUUACGCAGCCUCACACGUAUAGUAUACGGAGACAGUGGCAGGCAUGAAGGGUUCUGGAGCUGGACCCACAAUAUCUUCAAGAUAAUAUGAUCAACUAUAUGGAAAAUCUGAAAGAAUCCACAAACUCCUGGAAAUAUUAAGCAGUUACAGCAAGGUUAUAGUGUGUCCGGAAUUGGUGGGUUCUUGGUCUUGCUGACUUCAAGAAU
rnacentral:lncRNA from 10 species